rnacentral:rRNA from 1 species
AUUGAACGCUGGCGGCAGGCCUAACACAUGCAAGUCGAACGGUAACAGGAAGCAGCUUGCUGCUUCGCUGACGAGUGGCGGACGGGUGAGUAAUGUCUGGGAAGCUGCCUGAUGGAGGGGGAUAACUACUGGAAACGGUAGCUAAUACCGCAUAAUGUCGCAAGACCAAAGAGGGGGACCUUCGGGCCUCUUGCCAUCGGAUGUGCCCAGAUGGGAUUAGCUUGUUGGUGGGGUAACGGCACACCAAGGCGACGAUCCCUAGCUGGUCUGAGAGGAUGACCAGCCACACUGGGACUGAGACACGGUCCAGACUCCUACGGGAGGCAGCAGUGGGGAAUAUUGCACAAUGGGCGCAAGCCUGAUGCAGCCAUGCCGCGUGUAUGAAGAAGGCCUUCGGGUUGUAAAGUACUUUCAGCGGGGAGGAAGGGAGUAAAGUUAAUACCUUUGCUCAUUGACGUUACCCGCAGAAGAAGCACCGGCUAACUCCGUG